CUUGCAAAGGUGAGGUUGAGAGGAAUGUUGUCUGGCUCGAGGUCAUGGAGGAGGAGAGUUCUCAGAUAAACUCUUUCACCCAAAGUUUCCAAUGGAAAUUUACCCUCUAACACCAAAAUGAUUCUCGGACCAGGCUUCAUUCCCCCCACCCAACUUUUGCUAUU
rnacentral:pre_miRNA from 1 species